rnacentral:rRNA from 1 species
CCUGGUGACCAUAGCAAAGGGGAAACACCCGAUCCCAUCCCGAACUCGGAAGUUAAGCCCUUUUACGCCGAAUGUACUGCACGGGCAGCUGUGUGGGAGAAUAGGUCGUUGCCAGGA